UGCGAAAGCGUGGGGAGCAAACAGGAUUAGAUACCCUGGUAGUCCACGCCGUAAACGAUGUCUACUUGGAGGUUGUGCCCUUGAGGCGUGGCUUCCGGAGCUAACGCGUUAAGUAGACCGCCUGGGGAGUACGGCCGCAAGGUUAAAACUCAAAUGAAUUGACGGGGGCCCGCACAAGCGGUGGAGCAUGUGGUUUAAUUCGAUGCAACGCGAAGAACCUUACCUGGUCUUGACAUCCACAGAACUUUCCAGAGAUGGAUUGGUGCCUUCGGGAACUGUGAGACAGGUGCUGCAUGGCUGUCGUCAGCUCGUGUUGUGAAAUGUUGGGUUAAGUCCCGCAACGAGCGCAAC
rnacentral:rRNA from 1 species